rnacentral:rRNA from 1 species
UACGUAGGGUGCAAGCGUUAAUCGGAAUUACUGGGCGUAAAGCGUGCGCAGGCGGUCCGUUAAGACAGAUGUGAAAUCCCCGGGCUUAACCUGGGAACUGCAUUUGUGACUGGCGGACUCGAGUAUGGCAGAGGGGGGUAGAAUUCCAGGUGUAGCGGUGAAAUGCGUAGAGAUCUGGAGGAAUACCGGUGGCGAAGGCGGCCCCCUGGACAAAGACUGACGCUCAGGUGCGAAAGCGUGGGGAGCAAACAGG